GAAUGAAGGAAGCAUGGUAGUGUGCACAGAGAUCGAAUUCACAGGUCAACAUGUCUGCUCCCUCUGAUUCUUUCUGAUUUGGGGGCCUGGUUUAGACCUACAUUC
rfam:Cucumis melo, WGS project CAJI01000000 data, contig: 18706